CCAUCAGGUCAUGCUGGGGACGUCUAACAAAACUGCCCGCGUAAGCGUGGAGGAAGGUGGGGGAUGACGUCAAAUCAGCACGGCCCUUACGUCCAGGGCUACACACGUGCUACAAUGGCCGGUACAGAGGGCAGCCACUUGGUGACAAGGAGCAAAUCUCAAAAGCCGGUCUCAGUUCGGAUCGGAGUCUGCAACUCGACUCCGUGAAGUUGGAUUCGCUAGUAAUCGUAGAUCAGCAAUGCUACGGUGAAUACGUUCCCGGGCCUU
rnacentral:rRNA from 1 species